rnacentral:rRNA from 2 species
UGGGGAAUAUUGCACAAUGGGGGAAACCCUGAUGCAGCGACGCCGCGUGAAGGAAGAAGUAUUUCGGUAUGUAAACUUCUAUCAGCAGGGAAGAAAAUGACGGUACCUGAGUAAGAAGCACCGGCUAAAUACGUGCCAGCAGCCGCGGUAAUACGUAUGGUGCAAGCGUUAUCCGGAUUUACUGGGUGUAAAGGGAGCGUAGACGGAUAGGCAAGUCUGGAGUGAAAACCCAGGGCUCAACCCUGGGACUGCUUUGGAAACUGCAGAUCUGGAGUGCCGGAGAGGUAAGCGGAAUUCCUAGUGUAGCGGUGAAAUGCGUAGAUAUUAGGAGGAACACCAGUGGCGAAGGCGGCUUACUGGACGGUGACUGACGUUGAGGCUCGAAAGCGUGGGGAGCAAACAGG